AUUGAACGCUGGCGGCAGGCCUAACACAUGCAAGUCGAGCGAGCGGCGGACGGGUGAGUAAUGUAUGGGGACUGCCUGAUAGAGGGGGAUAACUACUGGAAACGGUGGCUAAUACCGCAUACUAUCGGAUAACCCAUAUGGGAUUAGCUAGUAGGUGGGGUAAAGGCUCACCUAGGCGACGAUCUCUAGCUGGUCUGAGAGGAUGAUCGGCCAAACUGGGAAUGAGACACGGCCCAGACUCCUACGGAGGCAGCAGUAGCGAAUAUUGCACAAUGGGCGGAAGCCGGAUGCAGCAAAGCCGCGUGUAUGAAGAAGGCCUUAGGGGGGUAAAGGACUUUCAGCGGAGAGGCGUUACCCGCAGAAGAAGCACCGGCUAACUCCGUGCCAGCAGCCGCGGUAAUAC
rnacentral:rRNA from 1 species